rnacentral:rRNA from 1 species
GUCUUAAAGAAAAUUUAAUUUUAAGUCUAAUCUGCCCACUGAAUUUAAAUUUAAAGGGCCGCAGUAUAAAUGUGCAAAGGUAGCAUAAUAAUUAGUUUCUUAAUUAGAAACUAGAAUGAAUGAUUGGACGAAAUAUUGACUAUUUAAUUUUUAAAUAUAAAAUUUAUUUUUUUAAUGAAAAAAUUAAAAUAAAUUAGAAAGACAAGAAGACCCUAUAGAUCUUAAUAAAUUUAAUUUAUAAAUUUUAUGAAUUAGAUUAUUUAAUUGGGGUGAUUAAAAAAUUUAAUUAACUUUUAAGAAAUAUUAACAAAAAUUAUUGGAAUAAUAAUAAUCAAUUAUAAGUAAAUAUUUUAUAUUAAUUUAAUUAAUAAAGAAAAAGAUACCUUAGGGAUAACAGCGUAAUUUUUAUUUUAAGUUCUUAUUAAAAUUAAAGUUUGCGACCUCGAUGUUGGAUUAAAAAUAAUAUUAAAUGUAGGUGUUUAAUAAUUAAGUCUGUUCGACUUUUAAAUUUUU